UGGAGCACCUCCUGCCCUCCUGCUGCACUCACCUGGGGGCUGCAGGGCUGGCGCUCACUCCUCGCUCUCCCAGCUGCUGUUGUGCAGCAGUAUUGUUUUUCUUUUAGUUCUCUUUCUUGAAUCUGCUCUCAUGGAGAUGCAGCCACUGGUGGGUCAGCAGUGAGUCCCUUUUGGAGCCUUCUGGAGCUGGCUCUUACCUGACAUGGGGCAGCUCCUGGACUCUUCUCACAGAGGCCACCCCUGCAGCCCCCUGCUACCAAAUCCACAUUUUGCCCCCACUCACAUAGCCACAAACAUUUUUUCCAACAGCAACAGGUUUUCACUUCAGACUGCUUUGCCAUGAAGGCAGGAAACCAACAGCAAGCCGUUUAGUGAACUAAGAGCUACAGAUGCCAAGUGCUUCACCAGGAAAUGAUAAAAAGUCCUUUUGAUAUGAAAGAAGCCCUUCCAUCAUGCACUUUUCUCAUCAGGCACUGUAUUAGGAACAGGAUUUUGCAGCUGGUGGGAGCAAGCAGCCAGCCUUGGACUGGCAGUCACUGUGAGGGCUCAGACCUUUGAAAGACAGACCAUGCAGUCAAAACACAGCUGAAAUAAGAGAAAGAGCCCUGUACAUUGUUGGGAUUUCUCAUUAGCCAGGAGUCAGCCUCUCCCACACUUGGUUUGUCUCCUGAUGAAGGAAAUAACCAUGUUUCCAGGCACCUUGGGUGUUUUCAGAAACCACAGAAGGACUGCACUGACUCUGCUGAGGUUGAUAGUACCUUCAGUAUGGAUAUUUCUACAUUUCAGUUCCUGUGAUUUAGUUUCUCAAAAUAAUUAAGCAGCAGCAAGCCCCUGUUCCCUGCCCUCAACUUCAGCACUCAGCAAUGGUAAAGAGUGGAGACACCACCACUGGGUAUACCAAAUGAGUCAUUUCCUCCCCAGAGCUGUUUGAUUCCUUCUCCACAUGGGGGAUUUAUAACCUUCCUGCCCCUACUCCAGUUCCACGCUUCACCCAAGCAGGCAGCAUGCUGCUGCUGCCCAUCCUGCUGGCAGCUUCUUGUUGGUUCCGUGGAGACACACAGGCAGUGCCAGAGCAAAGCCCGGCUACAUGGAGACAGCCUGAGGGAGGAUCAGUGGUAAUGACAUACCAGCUAAGAAAUGGAGACACCGUGCACUGGUACAAGCAGCUUCCUGGAGAGCCACCCAAGAGGAUACUGUACGUGUCAGAAAUGAAUCCUGUUUUUGAUGAUGGCUCUGACAGACGAAAGUAUCAAGUCAGGAAGCGUGCCUCUGAACCUCUCUAUACUAUCCAAAUAAAUAAUGUAAACCAGAGGGACGCUGGCACUUACUACUGUGCAUACUGGUAUUCAUAUCAAGGCAUCACAGUGUUAGAUGGGCCAAGAUAAACCAUACAAAAAGGCACUUGGCCCUCUGAACCGCAAGCUCUGAGCUCUGCUCAAAUGCAGAUACUUCGUCAUUCAGCCCUGCUCCGAUGAAUUUCUGCCAUAGUAUGGGAAAAACAAAAACAUAGUGUGACAGCUGCUAAAUAGAGGAUGUUAAUAGUCAGGAUAUUAUUUCCAGAUUCACACAUCUCUGUAACACGCAGAAGCUGCAGGUCCCCGUCAGUUGAGAGUACAAAUAGGGAACAUCUCUGUUAAGUUGAAGACUUGGAUAUAUGGAAAG